rnacentral:rRNA from 1 species
GGCUCUUUGGUGUUAGAAAUAAAGAGUCGGACCUGCCCGGUGAAUGUAAUAAACGGUUGCAACGAGAGUUGUACGAAGGUAGCGUGAUAAGUUGUCUUUUAAUUGGAGAAUGGAAUGAAGGGUUUGACGUGAAAUUUCUUUUUUUAUAAAAGGUACUAAAGUUUCCUUCUAAGUGAAAAGGCUUAGGUUUUUGAAAAAGACGAGAAGACCCUGUCGAACUUGAUUAAGAAUUACUGGUUAUAGAUAUUUAAAAGUUUUAUUGGGGCAAUAUUAACUUAAAAAACAGUUAAUUUAUUCAUGGAUCCUUUUUGAAAGAAAGAGGAAAAAGUUACCGCAGGGAUAACAGCGUUAUUUCUUAUAAGAGAU